UACAGAGGUGGCAAGCGUUGUUCGGAAUUACUGGGCGUAAAGGGCGCGUAGGCGGCCUUCUAAGUCAGACGUGAAAUCCCCCGGCUUAACCUGGGAACUGCGUCUGAUACUGGGAGGCUUGAGUAUGGGAGAGGGAUGUAGAAUUCCAGGUGUAGCGGUGAAAUGCGUAGAUAUCUGGAGGAAUACCGGUGACGAAGGCGGCAUCCUGGACCAUUACUGACGCUGAGGCGCGAAAGCUAGGGGAGCAAACGGG
rnacentral:rRNA from 1 species